GUGAGCAGGGGACGUUCCCUGAGACCCCUUCAUCUUCAGUUCAUGCUCUAAGGCCAGCUGACAUUAAAGCAGUCACUGCAAUAGGAAGUUUUCAAAGAACACCAGGAUCUGUUGAGGAUUUACUCCAAAG